rnacentral:rRNA from 1 species
ACGCUGGCGGCAGGCCUAACACAUGCAAGUCGAGCGGUAGAGAGAAGCUUGCUUCUCUUGAGAGCGGCGGACGGGUGAGUAAUGCCUAGGAAUCUGCCUGGUAGUGGGGGAUAACGUUCGGAAACGGACGCUAAUACCGCAUACGUCCUACGGGAGAAAGCAGGGGACCUUCGGGCCUUGCGCUAUCAGAUGAGCCUAGGUCGGAUUAGCUAGUUGGUGGGGUAAUGGCUCACCAAGGCGACGAUCCGUAACUGGUCUGAGAGGAUGAUCAGUCACACUGGAACUGAGACACGGUCCAGACUCCUACGGGAGGCAGCAGUGGGGAAUAUUGGACAAUGGGCGAAAGCCUGAUCCAGCCAUGCCGCGUGUGUGAAGAAGGUCUUCGGAUUGUAAAGCACUUUAAGUUGGGAGGAAGGGCAGUUACCUAAUACGUGAUUGUUUUGACGUUACCGACAGAAUGAGCACCGGCUAACUCUGUGCCAGCAGCCGCGGUAAUACAGAGGGUGCAAGCGUUAAUCGGAAUUACUGGGCGUAAAGCGCGCGUAGGUGGUUAGUUAAGUUGGAUGUGAAAUCCCCGGGCUCAACCUGGGAACUGCAUUCAAAACUGACUGACUAGAGUAUGGUAGAGGGUGGUGGAAUUUCCUGUGUAGCGGUGAAAUGCGUAGAUAUAGGAGGGAACACCAGUGGCGAAGGCGACCACCUGGACUGAUACUGACACUGAGGUGCGAAAGCGUGGGGAGCAAAC